rnacentral:rRNA from 1 species
UCGAGAAUCUUCGGCAAUGGGCGAAAGCCUGACCGAGCGAUGCCGCGUGAGGGAUGAAGGCCUUCGGGUCGUAAACCUCUGUCACCCGGGACGAAGAAUGUGACGGUACCGGGAGAGGAAGCACCGGCUAACUACGUGCCAGCAGCCGCGGUAAUACGUAGGGUGCGAGCGUUAUUCGGAUUUACUGGGCGUAAAGGGUCCGCAGGGGGUUUGCCAAGUCCGAUGUGAAAUCCCCAAGCUCAACUGUGGAACGGCAUUGGAUACUGGCGAACUUGAGUGGACGAGGGGUGAGCGGAAUUCCUGGUGUAGCGGUGGAAUGCGUAGAUAUCAGGAAGAACACCGAUGGCGAAGGCGGCUCACUGGCGUGCAACUGACCCUCAGGGACGAAAGCGUGGGGAGCAAACA